UGGCUCAGGACGAACGCUGGCGGCGUGCUUCAUACAUGCAAGUCGAACGAUAAGGCGUCUUCGGACGUACAUAAGUGGCGGACGGGUGAGUAAUAUGUAGAGAAUCUGCCCUAGAGUGGGGGACAACCGUUGGAAACGACAGCUAAUACCCCAUAUGAGCGUAGUUGAGAUACUAUUCUUGAAAACUCCGGUGCUCUGGGAUGAGUCUGCAUCUGAUUAGCUAGUUGGGGGUGUAAUGGACCACCAAGGCGAUGAUCAGUAGCUGGUUUGAGAGGAUGAUCAGCCACAAUGGGACUGAGACACGGCCCAUACUCCUACGGGAGGCAGCAGUAGGGAAUUUUGCGCAAUGGGGGAAACCCUGAACCGCAGCAACGCCGCGUGACCGAUUAAGCCCUUCGGGGUGUAAAGGUCUGUCAGUGGGGACGAAAGAUGACGGUACCCACAGAGGAAGCACCGGCUAACUCCGUGCCAGCAGCCGC
rnacentral:rRNA from 1 species